rnacentral:misc_RNA from 1 species
AAGUCGUAACAAGGUUUCCGUAGGUGAACCUGCGGAAGGAUCAUUAAAGAGAACUGGACACAUGAGCCAGUGCGCGGCUUCGGCCCCGCCCUCUUCACCCUUUGUAUAUCUUACCUUUGUUGCUUUGGCAGGCCUUGAGGUCACCUCAUGCCGGCGUUCCGCCGGCGAGCGCUUGUCAGAGACCCCUAAAUCCCGAUUUCCAAUGUAGUCUGAGCACAAAACAAAUAAAAUCAAAACUUUCAACAACGGAUCUCUUGGUUCUG